rnacentral:lncRNA from 1 species
AUGAAAAGGUAUAUGAAACAGAACAGCGAUCGUUCCUCAUACUUUGCUAUGGACACAGUAGUCUGUUCAUACACGAAGUGGAGUUUGAAUCCAUGGCUUGAGUGUACCAGGCAAGCGCGGCGAGUGCCCUCAGCUCUACCCCCAGGCCCAGCCCGUUUUUAUCAAGGCGUAGCCGUUUUUGACAGGAUCCUGGGAAGGGUCUCCAGGCCCUUGUGCGCAAAGAACAAAGAAUUCGGGAGAUGCAGUGCGCAGGCGUGA